ACUUAAAUAGCUUAUGAAAUAGAGCGUGGCAUUGAAGCUGCCAAGGAGAUUAAUUUUAAUCUUUGAGUA
rnacentral:tRNA from 1 species